rnacentral:rRNA from 1 species
UACCAGCUCUCCGAGUUGUAGGGACGAUUAUUGGGCUUAAAGCGUCCGUAGCUGGCUUAGCAAGUCUCCUGUUAAAUUCAGCGACCUAAUCGUUGAGCCGCGGGAGAUACUACUAGGCUAGGAGGCGGGAGAGGUCGACGGUACUUUCGGGGUAGGGGUGAAAUCCUAUAAUCCCGGGAGGACCACCAGUGGCGAAGGCUGUCGACUAGAACGCGCUCGACGGUGAGGGACGAAAGCUGGGGUAGCGAACCGGAUUAGAUACCCGGGUAGUCCCAGCUGUAAACUAUGCGGGCUAGGUGUUGGGGUGGCUACGGGCCACUUCAGUGCCGCAGGAAAGCCAUUAAGCCCGCCGCCUGGGGAGUACGGCCGCAAGGCUGAACUUAAGGAGUUGGCGGGGAGCACCACAAGGCGUGAAGCUUGCGGUUC